UACGUAGGGGGCAAGCGUUGUCCGGAAUCAUUGGGCGUAAAGAGCGUGUAGGCGGUCCGGUAAGUCGGCUGUGAAAGUCCAGGGCUCAACCCUGGGAUGCCGGUCGAUACUGCCGGACUAGAGUUCGGAAGAGGCGAGUGGAAUUCCCGGUGUAGCGGUGAAAUGCGCAGAUAUCGGGAGGAACACCUAUGGCGAAGGCAGCUCGCUGGGCCACUACUGACGCUGAGAAGCGAAAGCAUGGGGAGCGAACAGG
rnacentral:rRNA from 1 species